rnacentral:rRNA from 1 species
CAUGGUUGUCGUCAGCUCGUGUCGUGAGAUGUUGGGUUUAAGUCCCGCAACGAGCGCAACCCUUGUCUUUAGUUACCAUCAUUCAGUUGGGGACUCUAGAGAGACUGCCGGUGAUAACCGGAGGAAGGUGGGGAUGACGUCAAAUCAUCAUGCCCCUUAUGGCCUGGGCUACAAACGUAAUACAAUGGCGUAUACAAAGGGAUGCGAAAGGGUGACCUGGAGCAAAACUCACAAAGUACGUCUCAGUUCAGAUUGGAGUCUGCAACUCGACUCCAUGAAGGCGGAAUCGCUAGUAAUCGCGGAUCAGCAUGCCGCGGUGAAUACGUUCUCGGGGUUU